UACGGAGGGGACUAGCGUUGUUCGGAAUUACUGGGCGUAAAGCGCACGUAGGCGGAUUUGUAAGUCAGGGGUGAAAUCCCGGGGCUCAACCUCGGAACUGCCUUUGAUACUGCAAAUCUCGAGUCCGGAAGAGGUGAGUGGAAUUCCUAGUGUAGAGGGUGAAAUUCGUAGAUAUUAGGAGGAACACCGAUGGCGAAGGCAGGUCUCUGGGCCAUAACUGACGCUGAGAAGCGAAAGCAUGGGGAAGCGAACGA
rnacentral:rRNA from 1 species